rnacentral:rRNA from 1 species
CUACGGGCGGCUCCAGUGGGGAAUAUUGGACAAUGGGGGAAACCCUGAUCCAGCAAUGCCGCGUGUGUGAAGAAGGCCUGCGGGUUGUAAAGCACUUUCGGUUGGGAGGACUGCUUCUAGCACUAAUAUUGUUGGAAGUUGACGUUACCUUCAGAAGAAGCACCGGCUAACUCCGUGCCAGCAGCCGCGGUAAUACGGAGGGUGCAAGCGUUGAUCGGAAUUACUGGGCGUAAAGCGCGCGUAGGCGGCUAGAUCAGUCGGGUGUGAAAGCCCCGGGCUUAACCUGGGAACUGCAUCCGAUACUGUCUAGCUCGAGUACAGGAGAGGAGAGUGGAAUUCCACAUGUAGCGGUGAAAUGCGUAGAUAUGUGGAGGAAUACCAAUGGCGAAGGCAGCUCUCUGGCCUGAUACUGACGCUGAGGUGCGAAAGCGUGGGGAGCAAACAGGAUUAGAUACCCUUGUAGUC